UACGUAGGGUGCGAGCGUUAAUCGGAAUUACUGGGCGUAAAGGGCGCGUAGGCGGCCACCGCAAGUCGACUGUGAAAUCUCCGGGCUUAACUCGGAAAGGUCAGCCGAUACUGCGGGGCUAGAGUGCAGAAGGGGCAACUGGAAUUCUCGGUGUAGCGGUGAAAUGCGUAGAUAUCGAGAGGAACACCUGCGGCGAAGGCGGGUUGCUGGGCUGACACUGACGCUGAAGCGCGAAAGCUAGGGGAGCGAACGGG
rnacentral:rRNA from 1 species